rnacentral:rRNA from 1 species
UACGAAGGGGGGCUAGCGUUGUUCGGAAUUACUGGGCGUAAAGCGCACGUAGGCGGACCAGAAAGUUGGAGGUGAAAUCCCAGGGCUCAACCUUGGAACUGCCUUCAAAACUCCUGGUCUUGAGUUCGAGAGAGGUGAGUGGAAUUCCGAGUGUAGAGGUGAAAUUCGUAGAUAUUCGGAGGAACACCAGUGGCGAAGGCGGCUCACUGGCUCGAUACUGACGCUGAGGUGCGAAAGCGUGGGGAGCAAACAGG